UACGUAGGGCGCAAGCGUUGUCCGGAAUUAUUGGGCGUAAAGAGCUCGUAGGCGGCUUGUCACGUCGGGUGUGAAAGCCCCGGGGCUUAACCCCGGGUCUGCAUUCGAUACGGGCUAGCUAGAGUGUGGUAGGGGAGAUCGGAAUUCCUGGUGUAGCGGUGAAAUGCGCAGAUAUCAGGAGGAACACCGGUGGCGAAGGCGGGUCUCUGGGCCGUAACUGACGCUGAGGAGCGAAAGCGUGGGGAGCGAUCCGG
rnacentral:rRNA from 1 species